CUAAAACGUCCCUGAGUGGAAUCCCACUGUGGAUCAUCAUCCUCAGCAUUCUCAUAGGGCUGCUCCUGCUAGCACUGGUCAUCUUCGCUUUAUGGAAGUUUGGAUUCUUCAGGAGAAAAUCCAUGGAGGAGAUGAAAGAGGAGAUGAGGGAUGAUUGAGAGCCUCAGACCGACCCCACAUACACAGCAGAUCAUUCCACCCUCGAGCCUCCACGCUGUGCCAAGUAUCUGCUGUCCACCAGGGACCCCUGUGGUCCUCCUACGCCACCUGAACCCCACACGGAGCGGCCCUUAUUCCAACGCCAGAGUCUCACCUUCGGAGGGGAGCAUUCAGUAAUGCUCUCGCAGCACCAUGGACAAUGUAAUGUUCAAAUACUCAGCCAACUCAUAAAAGGGGACAAUGCCUGUUAUGGGACUUCAUGUUGGAACCCUGAAUCGGAGAUGUGGUCUGCAGGUCCCACUGUGUCUUUGUAUAUAUGCCAUGUGUUCCUGUCACUGUUUGACACGUUCGAUCAGAUUGUAAUAUGCGGAGUACAGUCUGAGGAGGCUUUCCCAACUUUUCACGAGCUUUUCACCGAACGAGUGCGAUUGUGCUUGUUGACCGCGUGAAAGCUACACUCUCACGUCCAAUGAUGCAAGGGCACACGAGCACACCUCACCAGCCCGCCCUGAGGUUCAUCAGGGCCCCUGAACUCUGCGUCUCCACGGCAGAGGACCAUCAUCCAUCAUACGGCAUCAAAGAACCUCAGGUUGUAACCCACGGCAGCACUGAUCUUUCCGCGUGACCCACGGCCACGUCCCUCUACACCAGACAACCUCCUGCGGGGGCCUGGCCCGGGUUCAAGGCCCACUGCAGACCUAGCUUCUUUUUUUUUCUUUUCUAACUUGAAACACUGUAUGUUGGUUCUGUGUCAAAUAUUGAACAUAGUUGUGCUCAUUUUUUUGGUGGCUGAGUCUGAGUUUUUCGGGGUUUUUUUUUUAGUCAUGCUUAUCCGUUUUUGGGCUCAUUCCCUCUCAGCUUUGAAGCUAAUGUUUUGGAUAAGACACUGAUCUGUUUCACAUGCAUUAUACCCUCAUCUGACUUUGAAAUUGAUUGUACUGUUAUUGUAAGUAUUUGUAAAGGUUAAACUGUACAUAGUCUGUGGGUUUUAUGUGCAAAGUGCAUCAUUUAAGAAGUUGAUUCUCAAAUGACUGAAAGACAGAAUUGGUAAUGACCCAUAACUUGCUACUCAGGUGAUGUAGUUAGUGCUAACUGUAAUGUGUCAGGUAAGCAUAUAAAUUGAGAAAUAGGUCUGCAAAAUAUGUAAAUACUGAAUUUAUGACUUACAUACGUACUGAAAUAUUGACCCAAUAAGCCCAUGUUUGUUUCCAUGUGAGACUUAUUAUUGUUGGUGAAAUGGACAGAUAUAUUUAUUCACCAAUAUUUUUAUUUUUGCUCUUUUUUUUUGCAUUUUUCCCCUUAAAUCGUCGGUGUUAAUUCUUCUUAAAGAUGAGAAACAUUGCUCAGAUAACCAGAUGACUGUCAAGUUGGCACUUCUGUGUGUAUUAAGUUUGCAGACAAUUAUCCAAAGUGACUUACAGUUCAGGUGUAUCAGUGCGUAUGCUUGGAUUCUCUCAGACUUCAACUUAUGACCUUGGUGUUCAUCUUUCACUUAUGGUAUCUCCAUAAUAACAUGUAGCAUGUUACCGUACCUGUUUCAAAAUCAGUCAACAAUAGGUUGAUUAUAGGUAUAUAAUAAGGUCAAAGGUCAAAAGUUGAUUGACAAUAGACCCAGACAGUACAGAACAAUGACAAUCAAACACAGCUAUUAUUCCUGCAUUUUUUGUCCACACUUUUUGAGUAAUUUGCACAGAAAAUCCUUAUUCGCCACUCAAUUGUAUUGUAUGUAAUUCUACAUCCAUGAUCAUUCACAUUUCACUGGUUUCAUCACACAAAGAGGUUUUUAAUAUGUAAACAAUGAUCUCGGGUCUCACUUGAGCUCCUUACCUUAAUAACUCACUGCUUUUUGUAACUACAAAAGAUUGUAGCCAUUAGUUCACAGUUGGAAAGUAGCCCAGCCUUAACAGUGUGCAAGUAGUCUGUUCAGCCUAACAGUACGCAUAAGUUUGUACUAAAUGUCUCAAUUUGUCAGUUGUUUGGUGCUAGUCCUUCCAAUUACCCUUUCAGCUACAAGACAACCAUAGAAACCAUUGCUGGUCUCUCUACGAACCCCUAGAAAAGCAUUGGCUAAUGUAUUAUGGACUUUGCAAUGCAUACUAGUCCAUUUCCUACAUUUUCCUAAAAUUGCGUACCCCAUUUGGCAAAAAAAAAAAAAAGAGAAACGUUGGUAUUUUGUAUUGUAUAUUCACAUUGUAUGUUUUCUAAGUUUGAUUACAUCUGAGCCAAAAAAACAUCAACCGUAGUAAAAGAUUUUCCAUGUUAAGUGUAUUCCAAUGUUGAGAGAAUAUUGCAGACACAAUGUAAAGUCAAACGUCUCCCUGUCAGACUUCAGACCUGCGCUCAGAGAGACUACAGAUAGGCAGCGAUGGGGGGGAUGUACCAGUCAUGGGCACUGCUGUGAAACUUCUAUGUAAUGCACUGGUUCAGCAUACUGUAUGUUUACUCCUCAGCACGGACCGAAGCAAAGAAAUAAAUGUCAUUGCACAUGCUUUGAAGAGAAUUAUGAAUGCAGAGAAAUAAAAAAUAUUUUUUUUUGUA
ensembl:lncRNA